rnacentral:rRNA from 1 species
CGAGCGAUGGAUUAGAGCUUGCUCUUAUGAAGUUAGCGGCGGACGGGUGAGUAACACGUGGGUAACCUGCCCAUAAGACUGGGAUAACUCCGGGAAACCGGGGCUAAUACCGGAUAACAUUUUGAACCGCAUGGUUCGAAAUUGAAAGGCGGCUUCGGCUGUCACUUAUGGAUGGACCCGCGUCGCAUUAGCUAGUUGGUGAGGUAACGGCUCACCAAGGCAACGAUGCGUAGCCGACCUGAGAGGGUGAUCGGCCACACUGGGACUGAGACACGGCCCAGACUCCUACGGGAGGCAGCAGUAGGGAAUCUUCCGCAAUGGACGAAAGUCUGACGGAGCAACGCCGCGUGAGUGAUGAAGGCUUUCGGGUCGUAAAACUCUGUUGUUAGGGAAGAACAAGUGCUAGUUGAAUAAGCUGGCACCUUGACGGUACCUAACCAGAAAGCCACGGCUAACUACGUGCCAGCAGCCGCGGUAAUACGUAGGUGGCAAGCGUUAUCCGGAAUUAUUGGGCGUAAAGCGCGCGCA